rnacentral:rRNA from 1 species
GAUGAACGCUGGCGGCGUGCUUAACACAUGCAAGUCGAACGGAAAGGCCUCUGCUUGCAGGGGUACUCGAGUGGCGAACGGGUGAGUAACACGUGGGUGAUCUGCCCUGCACUUCGGGAUAAGCCUGGGAAACUGGGUCUAAUACCGGAUAGGACAAUGGUUUGGAUGCUGUUGUGGAAAGUUUUUCGGUGUGGGAUGAGCUCGCGGCCUAUCAGCUUGUUGGUGGGGUAAUGGCCUACCAAGGCGUCGACGGGUAGCCGGCCGGGGAGGGUGUACGGCGACAUUGGGACUGAGAUACGGCCCAGACUCCUACAGGGGGCAGCAGUGGGGAAUAUUGCACAAUGGGGGCAAGCCUGAUGCAGCGACGCCGCGUGGGGGAUGACGGCCUUCGGGUUGUAAACUCCUUUCGCUAGGGACGAAGCGUUUUUGUGACGGUACCUGGAGAAGAAGCACCGGCUAACUACGUG